AUAAAAUAUUAGGCUUCUAUGCCUUCUCUCCAUCUCAAUUCUCUCCAUAAUCUAUUUAGUUUACAACACGUUAUCAGCACGAAUUCGCUUUCAAAUAUACCAACUAAAAUCUCUGAUGAAACCCAGAUUCUUUCCCCUACCUUCCUCCCUCUCUUGCCAUUUCUUCAGCUUUCCUUGUAUGUCUCCGUGUUAGAGAGAGAGAGGGAGAUAAUAGAAAAUUGUCAAGCAAUUGAUGCAGCAAUUUUGGUUAUCAACAUCCAAGUGGGAAAGAAAGAAAAAAAAAAAAAAAAUUUGGUCUGUGAGUGCAAGUGAGAUCACGAAGACCAAUCCUAGCCACUAUGUUGAUCUGCUCAUCUCCACCACCAUGUGCCCCUCCAAUCCUAACAAAAAUAGUGAUAAAAUAAUAAAACCCCUUUACGCCAUGUAAAUAUCCUGGGAGGCAGGUGGCCUUCCAUGUAAAUGAAGGUUCAACAAAUUUUGGCUAUCACUUCUGGUAGAGUUUGAGGAUGGAGAUGGCGACGUUGGAUCAAUGCAUAUAAGACCAGUCAACUAAUGCUCUUGUUCUUGGCCAAGUUUACAAGCUCAACACCACUCAAGAGGUGAUGAAGGGUUUAUGGGCAAAGAAGCAAGCAAAGGUGAAGAGAAGCAACUCAAACAAGGUGGAAGCAUAGUAGCCACAGAAGAGGGAAGAGAUAGUGUUCUGCACUUUGGUAUUGAUAGAACCCACCGAAAGAAUAGAGAACCCACUAAAAAAAAAUAAUAAGUCCUCUGCUUCCUUAUCUUUCAAUUACUUUAGUAUUAUCCUACACUAUUUAACUUGCUCUGCAGGAGGAAAGGCAGUAGCAAGCUUGAUAUCCAUCACUUUUUGCAUAUUUUAUAUAAUAUGCUAUAUAGCUAGUAUAUUAGUAUAAUAAGAUUAUAUUAUUUCAUCAUGGUUUUGAGAGGAAUCUAUCAAAAAAAAAAAAAAAUUUCUUGCAAGUAAAGGUGUGCAGGAGGAGCUUGUGCAGGUUCGUCCACUUUGUUCGUGAAAUUAUCACUCAAGGAAGCAGACAAACGUGAAUGCAAACUAGCACUAAGGUUUGUCUCUACUUUUCAUUUCCUCUAGUAUUGAGAGGAACCCACGAAAAAAGAGAGAAGGGAUAUUCAGGUUGACAGCCCAUGAUAUAUAAUAUUAAUAUGAAAAGUUUAUGGUAAUAUAAUACACUAUAUUUAUUUGCUUUCCAAUUACUAAUUAAUAAAAAUGAACGGUUUCACCUCUUAUAUUUUUAGUGGUGGUUUUUAUUCCCACAUUUAUUUUAUUUACUGUAUGGUGUAGGUUUAUUACCCAUACAACAAUAUCUAUUUAAAAGGGUGGUGCGGGUUUAUCAUCCACGCCUUUACUUUUAUUUAAAUGUAUGGAGCAGAAUUAGUGCCCAUACAAGCACGUUUACUUUAUCGCAAAUUUACUUUUACUUAAAGUAUGAUGUGGAAUUAACCCUCAUACUUUAUGAAUUUACUUUACCGCACAUUUAAUUUUAUUUAAGGUAUGGUGCGGGAUUAACGUCCAUACAGCAAGCAAUUUAAUUUAUGAAUUUACUUUACCGCACAUUUAAUUUUAUUUAAGGUAUGGUGCGGGAUUAACGUCCAUACAGCAAGCAAUUUAAUUUAUGAAUUUAUUUUACCGCACAUUUACAUUUAUUUAAAGUAUGGUGCGGGUUUAUCGUCCAUACCAG
rnacentral:lncRNA from 1 species